UUGAAUGCACUGCUGGAUCCAGGAGUCUUUUUUCACCAACCAUUAAAAAAAAAAAUGUUUUCCCAAUAAAAGUUAGGUAUAAGCUUUCUGUUAAACCAGUGCAACCUUCCCCAAUACUGUCAGCGGAAAACUUCUGGCAAACCUGCACUGAGCACUACUGUGGGCUAGGUGUUCAGGGUUCACAGAUGAACAAACGCAUCUACCCCUCAGGAGCUCAUAAGCUUGUAAAUUAUUUAGUCAGCAAUAAAUAAUAAAUACGCAUAAUGAGUGCUAUGGGAACACAAUGAAAAGGGCGAUUAAUUCGGACUGGAGGGAUGGAGGAGACUCUGCAGAGAAGGAAACUUUGAUCGAUGAUUAAAUGUUAACUGGACUUACUAAAGUAAAUAAGGCUAGCUGCUAUAAGAGACAGACUUCCAAAUCUCAGUGGCAUAACGCAGUUUAUUUCUCACUCGUGUCGCGGAUCAGUGGCCCAGAGAGGAUCAGCAGGGAGGAAGGUGACUCUGCUCUACAGAAUAAAUUAAGGGCAGAGGCUCCUCCCAUUGUCUCUUUUGCUCUUUCAAAUUGGUGGAAUGAGAAGUCGACAGAUAGAAAUCUGGGUAGGCAAGACCAAGAGCUAGCACCCUUCGCUCCUGUUCACAUUCUGUCUUCCUCGGCCCAGACACAUGGACACAUCGAAGUACAGGAGGAGUUGGAAAAUGUGUCUCCGCCACGUGCCUCAGUAGAGGAGGAGGACACAGACGUCGGCAAAUACGAGUUACCUUGCUGUAGGAAAAUUGUUUUACGUUGAGAAGUGGAGUUGGAUAACAAGUAAGACUGCAACCUUCUUGUAGAGUAUCACACCUAGGUUGGCCUGUUGCCUCUGGAUAGAAUGAACUGAACCACCUGGGACAAAAAGGAGGAGGAUGAGUUGCCUCCUGCUCCCAUGGGUGCGAUUAUACUGAAGCACAGUUUCCUGUGGGACCUCUGGUUUCUUCCCCUUGACAGGUAGACUAAAUCACACAAGUUGUUGGCUUUCUCUGGUAGUGUGUAUAAGGAGCUGGCCCUUCCCUGCAGCCGCCUGGCGCUCAGCACUGACAAGAGUUGCUUCCUGUGAAACAUAGGCUCGCAGAAAACUCACAUCCUCCGCUGGAGCUCAGGCUCACACUGUGUCAUAGCAGCUCCCUGUCCUGGCGUGCUUGUCUGUGUCAUGAAUGAGGAUAAUAGAUAGAAUCUCCCUAAGUCCUAGUGCUCAAUAGGUGGAAUUCAUCUGCCAUGGCAACACUGGGCAAAGCAAAGUAAGGCAUUUGAAUCUCUACCCAUGAAAAGAGAAGAAGGAGGCAUGAAUGUAACCUGGGGUACACACCCCACACAUGUAGAUCGGAAUUCGCUGCCUUCAGUUUAUCGGGACUGACUUGGCGGGGGUAGUGAAGUUAGCAUAAUUCUAACUGUCCCGGUACGUGGGUUUCAGGC